UAUCCUGGCUCAGGAUGAACGCUGGCGGCGUGCUUAACACAUGCAAGUCGAACGAAGCACUCUAUUUGAUUUUCUUCGGAAAUGAAGAUUUUGUGACUGAGUGGCGGACGGGUGAGUAACGCGUGGGUAACCUGCCUCAUACAGGGGGAUAACAGUUGGAAACGACUGCUAAUACCGCAUAAGCGCACAGGAUCGCAUGAUCCGGUGUGAAAAACUCCGGUGGUAUGAGAUGGACCCGCGUCUGAUUAGCCAGUUGGCAGGGUAACGGCCUACCAAAGCGACGAUCAGUAGCCGACCUGAGAGGGUGACCGGCCACAUUGGGACUGAGACACGGCCCAAACUCCUACGGGAGGCAGCAGUGGGGAAUAUUGCACAAUGGGGGAAACCCUGAUGCAGCGACGCCGCGUGAGCGAAGAAGUAUUUCGGUAUGUAAAGCUCUAUCAGCAGGGAAGAAGAAUGACGGUACCUGACUAAGAAGCACCGGCUAAAUACGUG
rnacentral:rRNA from 1 species